GAUAAAAGGUACUCCGGGGAUACAGGCUGAUACCGCCAGAGUCAUAUCGACGGCGGUGUUUGGCACUCGAUGUCGGCUCAUCACAUCCUGGGGCUGAAGUCGGUCCCAAGGGUAUGGCUGUUCGCCAUUUAAAGUGGUACGCGAGCUGGGUUUAGAACGUCGUGAGACAGUUCGGUCCCUAUCUGCCGUGGGCGUUUGAGAAUUGAGAGGGGUUGCUCCUAGUACGAGAGGACCGGAGUGAACGAACCGCUGGUGUUCGGGUUGUCAUGCCAAUGGCAUUGCCCGGUAGCUACGUUCGGAACUGAUAAGCGCUGAAAGCAUCUAAGCGCGAAGCAGGCCUCGAGAUGAGUUCUCACUAGACUUUUAAAGUCUCUGAAGGGCCGUUGAAGACUACAACGUUGAUAGGCAAGAUGUGGAAGUGGUGUGAGCCAUUAAGCUAACUUGUACUAAUUACCCGUGAGGCUUAACCAUA
rnacentral:rRNA from 1 species